rnacentral:pre_miRNA from 1 species
CAAAUACUCCCUCCGUUCGGAAUUACUCGUCCAAGAAAUGAAUGUAUCUAGAUGUAUUUUAGUUGUAGAUACAUCCAUUUUUAUGACAAGUAAUUCCGAACGGAGGGAGUACAAA